rnacentral:rRNA from 1 species
UACAGAGGGUGCAAGCGUUAAUCGGAAUUACUGGGCGUAAAGCGCACGUAGGCGGUCUUUUAAGUCAGAUGUGAAAGCCCCGGGCUCGACCUGGGUAUUGCAUUUGAAACUGGGAAACUAGAGUGUGUGAGAGGGGGGUAGAAUUCCAAGUGUAGCGGUGAAAUGCGUAGAGAUUUGGAGGAAUACCAGUGGCGAAGGCGGCCCCCUGGCACAACACUGACGCUCAGGUGCGAAAGCGUGGGGAGCAAACAGG